rnacentral:rRNA from 1 species
UACGUAGGGUGCGAGCGUUGUCCGGAAUUAUUGGGCGUAAAGAGCUUGUAGGCGGUCUGUCGCGUCUGCUGUGAAAAUCCGGGGCUCAACCCCGGACUUGCAGUGGGUACGGGCAGACUAGAGUGUGGUAGGGGAGACUGGAAUUCCUGGUGUAGCGGUGAAAUGCGCAGAUAUCAGGAGGAACACCGAUGGCGAAGGCAGGUCUCUGGGCCACUAACUGAC